rnacentral:rRNA from 1 species
GAUGAACGCUGGCGGCGUGCCUAAUACAUGCGAGUCGAGCGAACGGACGAGAAGCUUGCUUCUCUGAUGUUAGCGGCGGACGGGUGAGUAACACGUGGAUAACCUACCUAUAAGACUGGGGUAACUUCGGGAAACCGGAGCUAAUACCGGAUAAUAUUUUGAACCGCAUGGUUCAAAAGUGAAAGACGGUCUUGCUGUCACUUAUAGAUGGAUCCGCGCUGCAUUAGCUAGUUGGUAAGGUAACGGCUUACCAAGGCAACGAUGCAUAGCCGACCUGAGAGGGUGAUCGGCCACACUGGAACUGAGACACGGUCCAGACUCCUACGGGAGGCAGCAGUAGGGAAUCUUCCGCAAUGGGCGAAAGCCUGACGGAGCAACGCCGCGUGAGUGAUGAAGGUCUUCGGAUCGUAAAACUCUGUUAUUAGGGAAGAACAUAUGCGUAAGUAACUGUGCACAUCUUGACGGUACCUAAUCAGAAAGCCACGGCUAACUACGUG